rnacentral:rRNA from 1 species
CCUACGGGGUGCAGCAGUGAGGAAUAUUGGUCAAUGGGCGCAAGCCUGAACCAGCCAAGUCGCGUGAGGGAUGACGGUCCUAUGGAUUGUAAACCUCUUUUGUCGGGGAGCAAGGCCCGCCACGUGUGGCGGGAAGGAGAGUACCCGAAGAAAAAGCAUCGGCUAACUCCGUGCCAGCAGCCGCGUUAAUACGGAGGAUGCGAGCGUUAUCCGGAUUUAUUGGGUUUAAAGGGUGCUGAGGCGGAAGGUUAAGUCAGCGGUAAAAUGGCGGUGCUCAACACCGGCCUGCCGUUGAAACUGGUCUUCUUGAGUGAGCGAGAAGUAUGCGGAAUGCGUGGUGUAGCGGUGAAAUGCAUAGAUAUCACGAAGAACUCCGAUUGCGAAGGCAGCAUACCGGCGCUCAACUGACGCUGAGGCACGAAAGCGUGGGGAUCGAACAGGAUUAGAUACCCUAGUAGUC